AGCGAUACUGACGUGCAAAUCGUUCGUCUGACUUGGGUAUAGGGGCGAAAGACUAAUCGAACCAUCUAGUAGCUGGUUCCCUCCGAAGUUUCCCUCAGGAUAGCUGCCGCCCAUUACGAGUUCUAUCAGGUAAAGCCAAUGAUUAGAGGCAUUGGGGACGCAACGUCCUCGACCUAUUCUCAAACUUUAAAUAGGUAGGAUGGCUCGGCUG
rnacentral:ncRNA from 1 species